AUUGAACGCUGGCGGCAGGCCUAACACAUGCAAGUCGAGCGAGCGGCGUACGGGUGAGUAAUGUAUGGGGACUGCCCGAUAGAGGGGGAUAACUACUGGAAACUGUGGCUAAUACCGCAUACUUUCGUAUAACCCAUUUGGGCGUAGCUUGUAGGUGGGGCAAAGGCUCACAAAGGCGACGAUCUUUAGCUGGUCUGAGAGGAUGAUCAGCCAGACUGGGACGGAGAUACGGCAAAGACUCCGACGGAGGCAGCAGUGGGGAAUAUUGCACAAUGGGCGCAAGCCUGAUGGAGCCAUGCCGCGUGUGUGAAGAAGGCCUUAGGGUUGGAAAGUACUUUCAGCGGGGAGGCGUUAACCGCAAAAGAAGCACCGGCUAACUCCGUGCCAGCAGCCGCGGUAAUUC
rnacentral:rRNA from 1 species